rnacentral:rRNA from 1 species
AGUUCAGAUUGCAGGCUGCAACUCGCCUGCAUGAAGUUGGAAUUGCUAGUAAUCGCGAAUCAGAAUGUCGCGGUGAAUACGUUCCCGGGCCUUGUACACACCGCCCGUCACACCAUGAGAGUCGAUAACACCCGAAGCCUGUGAGCUAACCGUAAGGAGGCAGCAGUCGAAGGUGGGGUUGAUGAUUGGGGUGAAGUCGUAACAAGGUAAC